AUUGAACGCUGGCGGCAUGCUUUACACAUGCAAGUCGAACGGUAACAGGUUAAGCUGACGAGUGGCGAACGGGUGAGUAAUGCAUCGGAACGUGCCCGAUCGUGGGGGAUAACGCAGCGAAAGCUGCGCUAAUACCGCAUACGAUCUGAGGAUGAAAGCGGGGGACCGUAAGGCCUCGCGCGAUCGGAGCGGCCGAUGUCAGAUUAGGUAGUUGGUGGGGUAAAGGCUCACCAAGCCGACGAUCUGUAGCGGGUCUGAGAGGACGACCAGCCAGACUGGGACUGAGACACGGCCCAGACUCCUACGGGAGGCAGCAGUGGGGAAUUUUGGACAAUGGGCGCAAGCCUGAUCCAGCAAUGCCGCGUGCAGGAAGAAGGCCUUCGGGUUGUAAACUGCUUUUGUACGGAGCGAAAAGGCUCUCUCUAAUACAGGGGGCUCAUGACGGUACCGUAAGAAUAAGCACCGGCUAACUACGUGCCAGCAGCCGCCGUAA
rnacentral:rRNA from 1 species